rnacentral:rRNA from 1 species
UACGGGGGGGGCAAGCGUUGUUCGGAAUUACUGGGCGUAAAGGGCGCGUAGGCGGUUCGCUAAGUUGGAUUUGAAAACUCUGGGCUCAACCCAGAGCCUGCAUCCAAAACUGGCGGGCUAGAGUUCUGGAGGGGGUAGCGGAAUUCCUGGUGUAGCGGUGAAAUGCGUAGAUAUCAGGAGGAACACCGGUGGCGAAGGCGGCUACCUGGACAGAAACUGACGCUGAGGCGCGAAAGCUAGGGGAGCAAACAGG